AGUACACACCGCCCGUCACACCWUGGGAGUUGGUUUUACCCGAAGACGGYGCGCUAACCGCAAGGAGGCAGCCGGCCACGGUARGGUCAGCGACUGGGGUGAAGUCGUAACAAGGUAGCCGUAGGUGAACCUGCAGAAGGAUCA
rnacentral:rRNA from 1 species